UUGAACGCUGGCGGCAGGCCUAACACAUGCAAGUCGAACGGUAACAGGAAACAGCUUGCUGUUUCGCUGACGAGUGGCGGACGGGUGAGUAAUGUCUGGGAAACUGCCUGAUGGAGGGGGAUAACUACUGGAAACGGUAGCUAAUACCGCAUAACGUCGCAAGACCAAAGAGGGGGACCUUCGGGCCUCUUGCCAUCGGAUGUGCCCAGAUGGGAUUAGCUAGUAGGUGGGGUAACGGCUCACCUAGGCGACGAUCCCUAGCUGGUCUGAGAGGAUGACCAGCCACACUGGAACUGAGACACGGUCCAGACUCCUACGGGAGGCAGCAGUGGGGAAUAUUGCACAAUGGGCGCAAGCCUGAUGCAGCCAUGCCGCGUGUAUGUAGAAGGCCUUCGGGUUGUAAAGUACUUUCAGCGGGGAUGAAGGGAGUAAAGUUAAUACCUUUGCUCAUUGACGUUACCCGCAGAAGAAGCACCGGCUAACUCCGUG
rnacentral:rRNA from 1 species